CAAUAGCGUAUAUUAAAGUUGUUGCGGUUAAAAAGCUCGUAGUUGGAUUUCUGCCGAGGACGUCCGGUCCGCCCUCUGGGUGUGUACAUGGUACGGCCUGGGCAUCUUCUUGGAAAACGUAUCUGCACUUGACUGUGUGGUGCGGUAUCCAGGACUUUUACUUUGAGGAAAUUAGAGUGUUUCAAGCAGGCCUACGCCUUGAAUACAUUAGCAUGGAAUAAUAAGAUAGGACCUCGGUUCUAUUUUGUUGGUUUCUAGAGCUGAGGUAAUGAUUAAUAGGGAUAGUUGGGGGCAUUCGUAUUUAACCGUCAGAGGUGAAAUUCUUGGAUUUGUUAAAGACGGACUACUGCGAAAGCAUUUGCCAAGGAUGUUUUCAUUGA
rnacentral:rRNA from 1 species